AAAAGAAAAAGGAACAAUACGAUAAGAUAAUACUGUGGCGAAUUGGGGAAGAAGAGAAAUCAAUUCAGUAAUGGCGUUAGAACAAACAAUUGCAUUCACUAACCCUUUCUUCUCUUCAACUCCAAGAACCCCUGCAAAAUCUCUCUCUUUUCGAUUUUUCUCCCAAUCCAAGCAAGUACAAACCGCCAAAUUAGCUUCGGGUUGUCGUAUAAGAUGUUCCUUUGAGUACAAUAGUUCUGGAAAUGGAAACGGUAGUGUGUAUGAGUAUGAAAGAUAUGCUGGGGUUUCUCAGUACCCACGGCCUUCCGAAGUACAGUGGAAGAAGGAGCUUUG
rnacentral:misc_RNA from 1 species